rnacentral:lncRNA from 1 species
GUCUUAGUUCGGCUCUAUUGCCGCGAGCUUGACUCUUCCUGGGUCUGAGGAAAAGUAAAAGUAAUUUUGUCAUUUCCUGAAACUUCAAGUUAAACCUUUAAGCUGUUCAUUUCCUAAAAGGGUGAAAACGCGGGCACCCCUCGAGCUAGUUCAUCGCCUUUUAACCUGUUGUUGGAUCUUUCCAGAUCACCACACCACAUCACCCAGCCACUCUGCCCAAUGGGAGGGCAGACAGUGUUCCAGUGUAGGAGGAAGGGGUGUAAGGUGCGGGCAGUUUGUGAGGAGGGCACCAACGAGAGCUACUGUGAGAAAGUCUGCAUGGUCAAAAAGUGGAUUACCAAGAACAAAGCAUCAUAAUGUUGUCCAGUGGACCCCAGAAAACUGACAACUGUUUAGAACAAAGCCAAAGAUGAAACCAAAUAUAAAACCACUGAUGAAAACUAAGUGAAAAAUAUAAGCAAAAUAGAAGAAAAAUAAGGUCGUUAUUUCAAGAAAACGAAAGACAGUCAAUGCUGUUCUUUGUAUUCACAUACAAUUUGGUUCACACCAAAAUUUUUUAUCUUUAUCGUAUAACUGAAUGAGUUAUGUGGCACAU